GGGGCAUUGGUAUAUUGGCUAUUACUCUUGGCUUCCAACCAAGCAAGGUCGGUUCGAUUCCGACAUGUCCCUCCA
rnacentral:tRNA from 1 species